rnacentral:rRNA from 1 species
AUUGAACGCUGGCGGCAGGCUUAACACAUGCAAGUCGAACGAGUGGCGGACGGGUGAGUAAUGCAUGGGAAUCUGGCUUAUGGAGGGGGAUAACGAAGGGAAACUGUCGCUAAUAACGUGUACCAUAGGCUGAGCCCAAGUGGGAAUAGGUAGUUGGAGGGGUAAGGGCCUACCAAGCCGACGAUCUCUAGCUGGUCUGAGAGGAUGACCAGACACACCGGGACUGAGACACGGCCCGGACUCCUACGGGAGGCAGCAGUGGGGAAUAUUGCGCAAUGGGGGCAACCUGACGCAGCCAUGCCGCGUGAAUGAAGAAGGCCGUCGGGUUGUAAAGUUCUUUCGGUGACGAGGCGUUAAUCACAGAAGAAGCACCGGCUAACUCCGUGCCAGCAGCAGCGGUAAUUC